rnacentral:tRNA from 1 species
AUCGGUGUAGCUCAUUGGCAGAGCGGUGGUCUCCAAAACCACGCGUACGGGGUUCGAUUCCUCGCACCGGUGCCA